UCCCUAAAAGCAGGCAAGGGAGGGGUGGUGCUUAGCCUUGAAACAGCCCAACUACUCUCCAUUUUUGCCCCUUCCUCCUUUCUAAACCCCGUGUGGACCUGGAACUGAAAAAAAUUGAGAGCUGUGGCUGUCCUUGGAACCUUCCCUUGCAGGUUGGCUGGAGUGAUGGCAUCCUCGCCCUGUAAGCUCAGCCCAGAGAAAUCAAUCCACCUUGCCUGUUCCCCGGGCUCUCACCUGAACGCACCACCACCUGGCGUGUAGAAUCUCCAGGAAGCUUGGCUGCUGCUUCCCAUUUGGUUACCAGGGGAAGUGCCGUGGAAAUUUCCCCUUGACCUUGUCUAUGACUUGAUCUGUUCUUGCCUGGAAGUGUGGCCUUUGGUUGUAGGGCUAUCCCCAGAGGCUGCUAAAAUGCAGUGGUUAAGGACAGAAACUUGGGUGCCAGGCCACCCAAGCUCCACCAUUCGCGACCUCUGUGACUUUGUGGAAUUUUUGCAUCUUUAAAAUGGGAGUAUUUGUACCUACCUCAUAAAGCUGUUGUGAGGAUUAAAUAAUACAGUAUGUAUUGAACACUUA